GUUAUGUUUUCCUGCAUAAUUAUGUUAAUGUUUGGUUCAUUUUCUAUUUUUAGAAUUCCAGUAAAACUGGAAAACAUCACGCGCCAGCGUACAGGUGAAAAGGACAUUAUAGCUGGGUGGGAUUCCAAGCUUUCCUCCUUGAAAAAAUUACCUUUUUCAUUUGAUGCCACCAAGAAACAAGAAACCAACGCUGAACACAAGAAAAUUCGAGACAUUCUUAAAAACCCCAUCAUCAGUCAACAAGUCAGUAUAAAACUCUGUUCUUACAAUGUAACAAAAGUUUACACAGUUAAAUCCUGUAGUCUUUUAUAACUAUGUGGUUUUGUGUUACAGGUUCAUGUGACUGUAAAAAUAAAGAAACAACUAGAGAACGAAAUAAAAAUGACAAAGGCAAAAAAAAAUGUGAAAUGACUAAGUACAAAGUCUCGGAUAAAAGCGGCUCCUUGGAUCUAACUCUUUGGGGAAAAAGCAAUUUGUCAGUUGGUAAGUGGUACCUUCUGCAGAACCUGUCCGUCGGGGAAUACCAGGAGAAAGCCACACUGAGCACUACCACACAAACAACAACUGAAGAAGUAGAAGAGCCUGGAGCUGCAGCUAAAGCUAAGAGUCUGACAGAUGCCACUAAUGAAGGCUUGAAUGAGGUUGGAACUGGCACUGGAGGCGAGCAGGAAAAUAACAUAGCCUAGCUGCUGAUGUGGCUAUGGCUGAAGAAGGGUUGCACUUCCCCUUAACAACACAUUAUUGAAUAGUAAUUUUUAAAACACAGUUUAUACAACCGACAAAUCAGUUCACAGUUGAUCAACGUAUGUGCAGAUGUACUAUGAAUUGAUUGUACUGCACAGCUUUUAAAUAAAUUGUUUUCGAAGAACCCA
rnacentral:lncRNA from 1 species